rnacentral:misc_RNA from 1 species
UGCAACUGCAUAAUAAGGUUUGUUUUUAAGUUUAACCUCUUGCCUAUACUUUCUUCAAUUUCAAAAAGAAAGAAAUAGAAGGUUGGAAUGGAGGAAUAGUAUUCAUGUAAUGGACUUGAAGUUUGCACUUAAGGCCUAGUUGUGGUGAGAAGAUUCACCAUUUCCUCCUUUUUAUUUAUUUGUUUGAUUAAAAUUUUAAUUCAAUAAAGACUUAAAGAGGAUGUCUUGGGCAUCGUUUUCCAUUGCAUGAACUGUAUAACAUUAUCUAUCUGAUGCAAAUCCGACUCUAAAGAUAUUAGGAGUCAUCAACCUUAUUUUAGAAAGGAUUAUAGAAAUAA